UGCGUAGGCGGCGUUGUAAGUCAGAAGUGAAAGCUUUCAGCUCAACUGGAAAAUUGCUUUUGAUACUGCAGUGCUUGAAUCAGGUUGAGGUUAGCGGAAUGUGACAUGUAGCGGUGAAAUGCAUAGAUAUGUCAUAGAACACCAAUUGCGAAGGCAGCUAACUAGGCCUGUAUUGACGCUGAGGCACGAAAGCGUGGGGAGCGAACAGGAUUAGAUACCCUGGUAGUCC
rnacentral:rRNA from 1 species